GAUGAACGCUGACAGAAUGCUUAACACAUGCAAGUCUACUUGAAUUUGGGUUUUUUAACUUAGAUUUGGGUGGCGGACGGGUGAGUAACGCGUAAAGAACUUGCCUCACAGCUAGGGACAACAUUUGGAAACGAAUGCUAAUACCUGAUAUUAUGAUUAUAAGGCAUCUUAGAAUUAUGAAAGCUAUAUGCGCUGUGAGAGAGCUUUGCGUCCCAUUAGCUAGUUGGAGAGGUAACGGCUCACCAAGGCGAUGAUGGUUAGCCGGCCUGAGAGGGUGAACGGCCACAAGGGGACUGAGACACGGCCCUUACUCCUACGGGAGGCAGCAGUGGGGAAUAUUGGACAAGGGACCAAGAGUCUGAUCCAGCAAUUCUGUGUGCACGAUGACGUUUUUCGGAAUGUAAAGUGCUUUCAGUUGGGAAGAAAAAAAUGACGGUACCAACAGAAGAAGUGACGGCUAAAUACGUG
rnacentral:rRNA from 1 species